AUCAGCAAUAUGAACAUUUUAAUAAGGUUGCUGUGGUGGUCGAUGAACUGCUUCAUGAGCAAGGCGCCAAGCACACUG